rnacentral:rRNA from 1 species
CCCUUAGAUGUCCUGGGCCGCACGCGCGCUACACUGACAUGUUCAACAAGCCUCCUAGUUCGACAGGAUUUGGGAAAUCUUUGAACGCAUGUCGUGAUAGGGAUAGAUCAUUGCAAUUAUUGAUCUUGAACGAGGAAUUCCUAGUAAACGCGAGUCAUCAGCUCGCAUUGAUUACGUCCCUGCCCUUUGUACACACCGCCCGUCGCACCUACCGAUUGAAUGUUUCGGUGAAGAUUCCGGAUAGGACUUUUUUGAUUUAAUUCAAUUCUGUCUUAAAAGCUAUCUAAACCUCAACAUUUAGAGGAAGGUGAAGUCGUAACA